AAGCGGGCACACAGGGAACCCAUCUUACCUGGGCUUCUGGCUGAACUUGCAUUUGCAUUUCCCACCUGUCAGGGGAAUAGGGAUGGUUGGGGGAGGGGACCCACAGCCCUGCCCUACCAGCUCAGCCACCAGUGUCCCCACUCACUCAUGAGGACGAUGAUGCCGAUGGUGCACAGAACCGCGGCGCAGAUGAGCCCGCCGAUCCGGAGUCUGCGCCAGUCUAGGAGAAACCCAGAUGAGGCCAUCAGUGCCUGCCUGUGUCCUCCCUGUCCAAACCUCCAUCUAUUUGACAGGUUUUAAUCUGGUUGGCUCAGAACCACUCUUUGGCCUCAUGUUUCCAGACACCUGGCAUCCUCCCUCCUGCAGAAACCGAACAACAUUCUUGUCAAGACAACAGACGCUGGGGAAACUGAGGCACAAAGGAUUUGCAUAACUGCUGCAUCCGCGAAGCUCCCAGUUACCUCUCGUAAUAAAGUGCAAGGGAGGUGAUGAAGACACAGCACCCGGGGCUGAGCCCUCUCAUCAAGGACACCUCAAGGGGGUGACUAGCUGUGUGAGACGCUGCUGUAAGGGGUCCUGUCUUUGUGUGUGCACCUUGAAAGCCCCAGGGCGACACUUGUGACCCUCAAGGAGAUGCCGUCCAGCUAGUCACCGCCGCACAGGGGAGGCGGAAAGCACGAGAGAGAGAGAGAGAGAGAGAGACACAUACAUGCAGGGCUUGGCCACCCCUCAGUGGAGGGGUCUGGGGAAAAGGCAGUCCGGGACACAGGCACUCACCUGCCAGGAGGAUGAACAGGCUCAGUGUCACCUCUUGCAUGUCAGCCAGCUGGCCUGGAGGGGUAGGGGUGGGUGGGGAGGGUCCAGCUUUAGUAGGCCGGGCGGUGCCAGACCGGUGCUUCUGGGUCCCCAUCCUCUCCUACUCUGCUCCCGCCCAGGAUACACAGCUCGCCCCAGGGCAGAGAGGCCUGGCUGGGAGAUGAGAAGGAGCCGCCAAGUGCAGGGGGUGGGUGACAACGCAGACUUGGAGAGGAGUCGCACGAAUCACUCACUCGACACAGACUUGGGGCUUUACGUGAAUGGCCCUGGUGACCAAAUGAGGGAGGCGCUGCCUGCUGUUAGCCCCAUCUUACAGAUGGGGAAACUGAGGCUCUGAAAGCUGAAAAUGGGUGCAUAGGGUCACCUCGCGAGAGAGUGGGAUUUAAAGCAGCCUGGCUCUGCCGUGGCUCUUUGUCGCUCAGGACUCUCAGGGCCUCGGGGUGUUUUGGGAAACGGGAUGGAGGGAGCCAGGUGUCAGGAGGCCCGGUUCCCGGGUGUGUCUCUCGGAGACAGCUCAGAGCCUGCCCGCCCUGCCCAGACUCUGCAGACCUCGGGCUGGCUCCUCAGGCUGCUCAGAGCAGGGUGUGGGGAGGAGAGAACUAGAGGCUGGGGCAGGGGUGGGGGCCAGAGCAGGGAGGAGUCACCGGGCUGUAGCCCUAGCCCCGACUUCUGCCCCCCACAACCCCUCGUUUCUGUCCUGCCUCUGCC